AACGUUCUUAUCAAAACGAAAAAAUAAUAAACAAGUCUGCCGGCUCUUUUUUUCGCGUCUCGGAAUUUACUAAUACUACUUUUAAAGGUACGAGUUUGCGGCCCACACGUUCGCAAAUCCCACGAAUACUUUAUCAUCCAAACAAGCAAUAAAGUUUAUGUCGAGUGAUAGACUUACAGUUCCAUCUGAAGAAAAAGUAACCAAAGUUUGGUUACCAAACUAACAUUCAUUGUUAUAUUUUGAUAUUGCGAAGGAAAACUGCAGUAUUUGAAAGCGUUAUUCGUUGGGUAAGACAUGAAUUGGGUUCAAAAAAAAAUUGAAACAUUACAUAUAAAAAAAGUAGGUAGUUGAGGAACUUCUUUUUAAGAAUUGUUUUAAAUGUAAAGAUUACAUAAUAGAGGCAUUACAUUUUCAUAUUAUAUUCAAGUCAGAAGAGCUUAUUCCGCAGAACAUCUGGUAUAAAUCCAGACAUGGGGAUAAAGUUAUUUUCGUGAUUGGUGGUGAGAAUAUGGAUAUAAUAGGAAUUGAUGAAAUAGGAAAAAAUAGUAUAGAAUGGUUAGACACAAAAAUUAACAGAUGGCAUUUUGGACCAUAAAUGAUAACAAGCCGUCAAGGAACUAAUCUAGCAGUAGUGAAUGAAAAUUUAGUGUUUGCUGUUGGUGGUUUUGAUGAUUAUGAUGAAUCUCUUCGGUCAGUUGACGUGCAAGAUUUAUCUUCAGAACCGCCUUGUUGGAAACCUAGUGUCGACAUGUUGGCAGAAUCAAUUACAGAGAAGGUAUAUUAAAUAGUCCAGAAGAUUUUGACUACAAAACUCAAGAAUGGCGUAUGCUAAUUUUUAUGUCUACUGAAAAAUCUUUUGUCGGGGUCGUAAUACUGAAUAAUCUUUUAUACGCAGUAGGAGGUUAUGAUGAAUCAUCGCAGGCUUUAGACACUGUUGAAUGUUAUCAUCCCAGUCUUGAUACAUGGACGCCAGUCACAAAAAUGUCUGUACAUCAUAGUGGUGCAGUUGUAGGAGUUUUUGACGGUGUACUAUAUGCUGUGGGUGGUUGUGAUGGAUCAAACAGUCUGAGUAUUGUUGAAGCAUACAGACCAAAUUGUCCAAAUUGACCAAAGUGUUUAGGCUGCUGUUGCAAACAUGAAUUUACCUCAACAAUUGGCCGGAGUAGUUGCAAUGGAUGGUUUAUUGUAUGUUGUCGAUGGAGAAGACGGAACUUCAUUUUUCAGUUCUACAGAAUGUUACAGGCUCAAAACCAAUAAUUGGACUUUGUUAACAGCG
rnacentral:lncRNA from 1 species